AAGUGGCAAGACCUUCCUCGUCAUUCCUCCUGCUCUGAGAGGAGGUUGGGCUAGAUGACCUCCUCAUGUCCUUUCUGACCUGAGUUAUCCUAUGAUGAUCCCACUGUGUAGUGUGGCUCUGGAGCAGCACUGUACUCAGAGCACAGCAGCGAAGAAACACCUGCUUUUAAGAUGGCAACUGACAUUUUAAGGGAGGGGAUGACACAGUGCUACACCUGAGAUGGCCCGGAAUAGCCCUCAGGGACACCAAAAAUCUCACAGCCUAUUCCGAUAUCUAAUUCUUUUUAAUUUGGAGGGUGAAAUAACAUGGACAGAUCACAAGAGAGCAUAAACUCUGAGACUUCACUAGUUAAUAAUCAUUCUGUAUUUUGCUAUUGCAGUGCAAAUAGCAAAAACACCUCUGCACCUCUACAGACUCGAUGAUCGUCUACACCAUCUGUGCUGAAAGAGCAGAGAAAGCAAGUGAGAAGCUGUGAAACCGAAUUUCCCUGCAACGCCUCACCUCUGUCUUGUUGUUCUGGCUACUGUGUGUUAGCCUUGCAGACCUGGUCGCCCAGCGGAAUUGGCCCGCAGAGCCAUGCAGCCGGGCUCCCAGCACCGAGAGGAGAUUUCUGGACUGGCACCGAGCUGCGGGGUUCUCAGCAUACGCACGCUGGCAAGUCUUCCUUGUUUCUACAUGUGAUGAAUGACUUCACCUUGAUGACAUUUAAACAAAAACUGGAAUGCCAAGUAUUGCUGGAAUAACUGUUCCCAGACAAAAAGCGAAACCCGCAGAGAUCAGCUGUUAGUGAACUGUAGCCUGCAGAGUGAUAGAAGUGUGCUACAUCUGGUCUGUGGAACUAUAUUGACUUUACAGGAUUUUUAACUGGAAGCAAUGGUAAGAAUGCCUAAGGCCCCCAAGGGACAAAAUGUCAACACUGCCCCUUGAUCUAAGAAUUUGUGGAAUCAUUGUUCAAGAUUAUAAAAAUUAAAUUUUGUGAUACAAUUUUAACAUGGUUUAAAACCUGUCUUGGGUAAAGUCUGCUCUCCAGCUGUUGGACAGGAAGCGAAACAGCCUGUUAAAGCAAACGAUCUACCAUUCCUGUAGACAGGAGAGUUCUGUUCAUUUCCAGUUUCCCUUUGCUAUGGAAGUUCACUACUUAUUGUCUAGACAGCGAUUAUUUGUAAAGAUAUCUAUCAAGAAAUGUUUGAAUAUUGAUUAUACAAUUUCAUUACUGCAAGCACUUGUUUAUUUGUACAAACUAACACUCAGUAAAGUGAUGUUGAAUUUUAUACUGUUAUUAGAUCCAUUCAGGUGAACAAUACGUGGGGGGUUUUUUCCCCGCGUAAGGACUACUGUUUUUCUAAAGCAGCUCUAAUAGCUGUGUGUGAACAUUCCUGCAGAAUCUGUUACAGACAAACAUUAAGGCAUUUUUUCAGAUCUUGUGAUUUGCACUAAAAAGCAAUAUAAGUA